rnacentral:rRNA from 1 species
GACGAACGCUGGCGGCGUGCCUAAUACAUGCAAGUAGAACGCACAGUUUAUACCGUAGCUUGCUCCACCAUAGACUGUGAGUUGCGAACGGGUGAGUAACGCGUAGGUAACCUGCCUGGUAGCGGGGGAUAACUAUUGGAAACGAUAGCUAAUACCGCAUAAUAUUGAUUAUUGCAUGAUAAUUAAUUGAAAGGUGCAAUUGCACCACUACCAGAUGGACCUGCGUUGUAUUAGCUAGUAGGUGAGGUAACGGCUCACCUAGGCGACGAUACAUAGCCGACCUGAGAGGGUGAUCGGCCACACUGGGACUGAGACACGGCCCAGACUCCUACGGGAGGCAGCAGUAGGGAAUCUUCGGCAAUGGACGAAAGUCUGACCGAGCAACGCCGCGUGAGUGAAGAAGGUUGUCGGAUCGUAAAGCUCUGUUGUAAGAGAAGAACGGGUGUGAGAGUGGAAAGUUCACACUGUGACGGUAUCUUACCAGAAAGGGACGGCUAACUACGUG